rnacentral:rRNA from 1 species
AUACGGAGGAUCCGAGCGUUAUCCGGAUUUAUUGGGUUUAAAGGGUGCGCAGGCGGCCAUUUAAGUCAGCGGUUAAAUCGUGGGGCUCAACCCCAUUCUGCCGUUGAUACUGGGUGGCUUGAUUGCGGUCGAGGUUGGCGGAAUUCGUUGUGUAGCGGUGAAAUGCAUAGAUAUGACGAAGAACACCGAUGGCGUAGGCAGCUGACCAGACCGCAAAUGACGCUCAUGCACGAAAGUGCGGGGAUCGAACAGGAUUAGAUACCCUGGUAGUCCGCACAGUAAACGAUGAAUACUUGUUUUCGGCGAUAUAAUGUCGGAGGCAAAGCGAAAGCGAUAAGUAUUCCACCUGGGGAGUACGCCGGCAACGGUGAAACUCAAAUGAAUUGGCGGGG